rnacentral:miRNA from 1 species
CAUUAUACCAAAGAUAUAUGUAUGUAUGUGUAUGUGUGUGUGUGUGUAUAUAUAUAUACACACACACAUACACAUAUAUUAAUUAAUUACCAUAUA